rnacentral:rRNA from 1 species
CCACGGGUGGCAGCAGUGGGGAAUAUUGGACAAUGGGGGCAACCCUGAUCCAGCCAUGCCGCGUGUGUGAAGAAGGCCUUCGGGUUGUAAAGCACUUUCAGUGAGGAAGAACGCCUGGUGGUUAAUACCCAUCAGGAAAGACAUCACUCACAGAAGAAGCACCGGCUAACUCCGUGCCAGCAGCCGCGGUAAUACGGAGGGUGCGAGCGUUAAUCGGAAUUACUGGGCGUAAAGCGCGCGUAGGUGGCUUGAUAAGCCGGUUGUGAAAGCCCCGGGCUCAACCUGGGAACGGCAUCCGGAACUGUCAAGCUAGAGUGCAGGAGAGGAAGGUAGAAUUCCCGGUGUAGCGGUGAAAUGCGUAGAGAUCGGGAGGAAUACCAGUGGCGAAGGCGGCCUUCUGGACUGACACUGACACUGAGGUGCGAAAGCGUGGGUAGCAAACAGGAUUAGAUACCCGAGUAGUC